rnacentral:rRNA from 1 species
UGGGGAAUAUUGCACAAUGGGGGAAACCCGUGAUGCAGCGACGCCGCGUGAACGAAGAAGUAUUUCGGUAUGUAAAGUUCUAUCAGCAGGGAAGAUAAUGACGGUACCUGACUAAGAAGCACCGGCUAAAUACGUGCCAGCAGCCGCGGUAAUACGUAUGGUGCAAGCGUUGUCCGGAUUUACUGGGUGUAAAGGGAGCGCAGGCGGUGCGGCAAGUCUGAUGUGAAAGCCCGGGGCUCAACCCCGGUACUGCAUUGGAAACUGUCGUACUAGAGUGUCGGAGGGGUAAGUGGAAUUCCUAGUGUAGCGGUGAAAUGCGUAGAUAUUAGGAGGAAUACCAGUGGCGAAGGC